rnacentral:lncRNA from 1 species
UCGAAUCUCCAGUAUAUUAUGCUGAAACUUUCCGUGUGUUAGAGUUCCAACAUAAUAUGCUGAAAAUUCAUACACAGGUGCACCAAACUCCAGUAUAUUAUGCUGGACCGGUCUCUGUUGCAACAAAAUAAUAGUUAUUUUUCAAUGACCUGGCAAACACUGGCUAUUUUUGAAUGACCAGUCCGAAAACUGGCCAGUCCUGCUAUUUUUACAUUUUUUUCUUCCAAGGUUGUUCUGGAUUUGGUCUUGUUAUCUUGCAGACAAGAAACAAUCAGGAAAUAAUGAUAUCUUUCUAAUAAAUAGCUUAUAUAAUGAUAUAUGAGUAUUUUCUAAGUAAAAAGAAAUAGUACAGCCUCAACAAACCUAGUUUGACAACAGAUAAGAAAUUCAAAUUUCCAAAACCAACUUUGUAGCUCAGCUUGUCACCCUUCUGCAGCAAUUGUAUGACAAAUUUAUCACCAACAGCAAUGAACAGAGCAUAGGCACUGCCACAUGCAUGACAUCAUCAUCUUUUGGGAGAGGAUAGCGAGAAAAUAUCGCGCAGCUUUUUCUUGAAAAACAGUGGUAAAGCUGAACCGAGAAUUGGCAAUGUGGUUAUGAUUGCAGCAUAUGCAAGUACCCACAUUGAAAUCUUGCUAUGGCGAGAAAGCUGAUUAAGACAUCUUUUAACAGGAACCAUCAUUGCAUCAAAAUCUGCUUUCGGAGCAGGAUCGAGCUGAGUUGUUGCAUUUGUUUCUUCUUGCUGCACCGUAGCAUUGACACCUCUAACACUAUCUCCAGCAUUAUCAUCUUCAGCCAAUUGCUCAUUCUGCUGAUUUCAGAUUGCAGCAUAUGCAAGUACCCACAUUGAAAUCUUGCUACGCCGAGAGAGCUGAUUAAGACAUCUCUUAACAGGAACCAUCAUUGCAUCAAAAUCUGCUUUCGGAGCAGGAUCAAGCUGAGUUGUUGCAUUUGUUUCUUCUUCAUG